rfam:Gossypium arboreum cultivar AKA8401 contig_992_7, whole genome shotgun sequence.
UAUUAAAAAAUUGAUCCAUUUCUAAAGUUAAAAAUUGGUGUGGUUGAUGGAAUAACUAGACAAUGACACGUGGCUUGUCACAUGUAUCUCAUGCUGAUGUACAACACUAGUUUUUUUAACUAUAGAAAUGGAUGAUUUUUUUUAAUA